ACGAACGCUGGCGGCGUGCUUAACACCUGCAAGUCGAACGGAAAGGGCCUGCUUUUGUGGGGUGCUCGAGUGGCGAACGGGUGAGUAACACGUGAGUAACCUGCCCUUGACUUUGGGAUAACUUCAGGAAACUGGGGCUAAUACCGGAUAGGAGCUCCUGCUGCAUGGUGGGGGUUGGAAAGUUUCGGCGGUUGGGGAUGGACUCGCGGCUUAUCAGCUUGUUGGUGGGGUAGUGGCUUACCAAGGCUUUGACGGGUAGCCGGCCUGAGAGGGUGACCGGCCACAUUGGGACUGAGAUACGGCCCAGACUCCUACGGGAGGCAGCAGUGGGGAAUAUUGCACAAUGGGCGGAAGCCUGAUGCAGCAACGCCGCGUGCGGGAUGACGGCCUUCGGGUUGUAAACCGCUUUCGCCUGUGACGAAGCGUGAGUGACGGUAAUGGGUAAAGAAGCACCGGCUAACUACGUG
rnacentral:rRNA from 1 species